CCCUUAAAUGUUCUGGGCUGCACGCGCGCUACACUGAAGCUAUCAACACGUUUUCCCUCCCUGAGAAGGGCGGGUAACCUUUUGAAUCAGCUUCGUGGUAGGGAUCGGGGCUUGCAAUUGUUCCCCGUGAACCAGGAAUUCCUAGUAGACGCGAGUCAUAAGCUCGCAUCGAUUAAGUCCCUGCCCUUUGUACACACCGCCCGUCGCUACUACCGAUUGAACGUUUUAGUGAGGCAUUUGGACCGACGCAUCUCAGUUUAACCGCUGGUUUGUGUUGGAAAGACUUCCAAACUUGAGCGUUUAGAGGAAGUAAAAGUCGUAACA
rnacentral:rRNA from 1 species